GCUUGUUAUUUUUACUGUUAUUGCUUUGUAUCGUAUUUGUGCGUAUAUGAGCUAUUAUAUUGUAUAUGUUCAUUAGUAUUUUGUGGUAUCGUGUAUGAUACAUAUGAAUGGGGGCUGCUUGUGGAAUUGUGUGUGUGUGGAUGGAUAUGUCACAUUGUGUGUUUGGUAGUGUGUGGGGGCUGUUUGGGGUAUUGCAUGUGAGAGGCUGCAUGUGGGUUUGUGUGCAUGUAUGUGGAUUGUUACUGGUGUUGCGUUUGUGCAGAUUGUAUGUGGGCUGUCCGUAUUAUUUGUAUGAGGGGAGGGUAAUUCUGCAUUUCUGUGUAUGUCUAGCAGUGUGGGUGACUUCCCUGGGUUCCAGUGGGGACCAGGCCAGCCA